GACGAACGCUGGCGGCGUGCUUAACACAUGCAAGUCGAACGGAAAGGCCCUGCUUUUGUGGGGUGCUCGAGUGGCGAACGGGUGAGUAACACGUGAGUAACCUGCCCUUGACUUUGGGAUAACUUCAGGAAACUGGGGCUAAUACCGGAUAGGAGCUCCUGCUGCAUGGUGGGGGUUGGAAAGUUUCGGCGGUUGGGGAUGGACUCGCGGCUUAUCAGCUUGUUGGUGGGGUAGUGGCUUACCAAGGCUUUGACGGGUAGCCGGCCUGAGAGGGUGACCGGCCACAUGGGGACUGAGAUACGGCCCAGACUCCUACGGGAGGCAGCAGUGGGGAAUAUGGCACAAUGGGCGGAAGCCUGAUGCAGCAACGCCGCGUGCGGGAUGACGGCCUUCGGGUUGUAAACCGCUUUCGCCUGUGACGAAGCGUGAGUGACGGUAAUGGGUAAAGAAGCACCGGCUAACUACGUG
rnacentral:rRNA from 1 species